rnacentral:rRNA from 1 species
GUGUGUUAGUGGAAGCGUCUGGAAAGGCGUGCGAUACAGGGUGACAGCCCCGUACACAAAAAUGCACAUGCUGUGAGCUCGAUGAGUAGGGCGGGACACGUGGUAUCCUGUCUGAAUAUGGGGGGACCAUCCUCCAAGGCUAAAUACUCCUGACUGACCGAUAGUGAACCAGUACCGUGAGGGAAAGGCGAAAAGAACCCCGGCGAGGGGAGUGAAAAAGAACCUGAAACCGUGUACGUACAAGCAGUGGGAGCCUCUUUAUGGGGUGACUGCGUACCUUUUGUAUAAUGGGUCAGCGACUUAUAUUCUGUAGCAAGGUUAACCGAAUAGGGGAGCCGAAGGGAAACCGAGUCUUAACUGGGCGUUAAGUUGCAGGGUAUAGACCCGAAACCCGGUGAUCUAGCCAUGGGCAGGUUGAAGGUUGGGUAACACUAACUGGAGGACCGAACCGACUAAUGUUGAAAAAUUAGCGGAUGACUUGUGGCUGGGGGUGAAAGGCCAAUCAAACCGGGAGAUAGCUGGUUCUCCCCGAAAGCUAUUUAGGUAGCGCCUCGUGAAUUCAUCUCCGGGGGUAGAGCACUGUUUCGGCAAGGGGGUCAUCCCGACUUACCAACCCGAUGCAAACUGCGAAUACCGGAGAAUGUUAUCACGGGAGACACACGGCGGGUGCUAACGUCCGUCGUGAAGAGGGAAACAACCCAGACCGCCAGCUAAGGUCCCAAAGUCAUGGUUAAGUGGGAAACGAUGUGGGAAGGCCCAGACAGCCAGGAUGUUGGCUUAGAAGCAGCCAUCAUUUAAAGAAAGCGUAAUAGCUCACUGGUCGAGUCGGCCUGCGCGGAAGAUGUAACGGGGCUAAACCAUGCACCGAAGCUGCGGCAGCGACACUAUGUGUUGUUGGGUAGGGGAGCGUUCUGUAAGCCGUUGAAGGUGUGCUGUGAGGCAUGCUGGAGGUAUCAGAAGUGCGAAUGCUGACAUAAGUAACGAUAAAGCGGGUGAAAAGCCCGCUCGCCGGAAGACCAAGGGUUCCUGUCCAACGUUAAUCGGGGCAGGGUGAGUCGACCCCUAAGGCGAGGCCGAAAGGCGUAGUCGAUGGGAAACAGGUUAAUAUUCCUGUACUUGGUGUUACUGCGAAGGGGGGACGGAGAAGGCUAUGUUGGCCGGGCGACGGUUGUCCCGGUUUAAGCGUGUAGGCUGAUUUUCCAGGCAAAUCCGGAGAAUCAAGGCUGAGGCGUGAUGACGAGGCACUACGGUGCUGAAGCAACAAAUGCCCUGCUUCCAGGAAAAGCCUCUAAGCAUCAGGUAACAUCAAAUCGUACCCCAAACCGACACAGGUGGUCAGGUAGAGAAUACCAAGGCGCUUGAGAGAACUCGGGUGAAGGAACUAGGCAAAAUGGUGCCGUAACUUCGGGAGAAGGCACGCUGAUAUGUAGGUGAAGCGACUUGCUCGUGGAGCUGAAAUCAGUCGAAGAUACCAGCUGGCUGCAACUGUUUAUUAAAAACACAGCACUGUGCAAACACGAAAGUGGACGUAUACGGUGUGACGCCUGCCCGGUGCCGGAAGGUUAAUUGAUGGGGUCAGCCGCAAGGCGAAGCUCUUGAUCGAAGCCCCGGUAAACGGCGGCCGUAACUAUAACGGUCCUAAGGUAGCGAAAUUCCUUGUCGGGUAAGUUCCGACCUGCACGAAUGGCGUAAUGAUGGCCAGGCUGUCUCCACCCGAGACUCAGUGAAAUUGAACUCGCUGUGAAGAUGCAGUGUACCCGCGGCAAGACGGAAAGACCCCGUGAACCUUUACUAUAGCUUGACACUGAACAUUGAGCCUUGAUGUGUAGGAUAGGUGGGAGGCUUUGAAGUGUGGACGCCAGUCUGCAUGGAGCCGACCUUGAAAUACCACCCUUUAAUGUUUGAUGUUCUAACGUGGACCCGUGAUCCGGGUUGCGGACAGUGUCUGGUGGGUAGUUUGACUGGGGCGGUCUCCUCCUAAAGAGUAACGGAGGAGCACGAAGGUUGGCUAAUCCUGGUCGGACAUCAGGAGGUUAGUGCAAUGGCAUAAGCCAGCUUGACUGCGAGCGUGACGGCGCGAGCAGGUGCGAAAGCAGGUCAUAGUGAUCCGGUGGUUCUGAAUGGAAGGGCCAUCGCUCAACGGAUAAAAGGUACUCCGGGGAUAACAGGCUGAUACCGCCCAAGAGUUCAUAUCGACGGCGGUGUUUGGCACCUCGAUGUCGGCUCAUCACAUCCUGGGGCUGAAGUAGGUCCCAAGGGUAUGGCUGUUCGCCAUUUAAAGUGGUACGCGAGCUGGGUUUAGAACGUCGUGAGACAGUUCGGUCCCUAUCUGCCGUGGGCGCUGGAGAACUGAGGGGGGCUGCUCCUAGUACGAGAGGACCGGAGUGGACGCAUCACUGGUGUUCGGGUUGUCAUGCCAAUGGCACUGCCCGGUAGCUAAAUGCGGAAGAGAUAAGUGCUGAAAGCAUCUAAGCACGAAACUUGCCCCGAGAUGAGUUCU